rnacentral:tRNA from 1 species
GUUGGUAUCGAUUAGGGGUUAAAUCACUUCGUUGUGGAUUCUACUCCGAAGAGCCGCUGGUUCGAUUCCAGCUACCGACA